UGAAAGCAACGAACGUGACCGCAACCUCUUGUUGCCUCAUCUCCCCAUCACUAGGUAUAGCUUUCGGGCUAUUACUUAACGUAUCAUUGAGGCUUUCCAAAACUAGAGGGACCGCUGUCAACUUCUUAAACCAGAGGAAGGUUGCGGCAAUAACAGGUCUGUGAUGCCCUUAGAUGUUCCGGGCUGCACACGUGCUACAAUGAUUGUUGCAGUGAGCAUCUCAAUUUUUUACCUAACACCGCACACGUGAGUGCAUACUUGUAUGUUACUUUACGCAGCGGUAAAGCCUGCUUCGAGAGCAAGUGGGUAAUCAAUUAGAAGUAACGAUUUCCCAAAUUAGCACACUUAUAUACGGCGUUUGUGCCCGGGUUUCACUUGUUGGAACUUUUGUGCGCGCAGAUGUUUUUCCGUAUGUGCAAUUGUCAAUUCAUGGUGGG
rnacentral:rRNA from 1 species